GAGGCCUUGCUUCACAACCUUGACCUUCUUUCCAAGGCUGCACCCAGCGAGAUGGAACCCACCGCAAGCCGUGAUCUGUAAGCAAACACAUAUAACCUCUGCCUGUUAAUUGUACUUUAAC